AUGAGAGAAUUGGUAUUGAGCCCUCACUCUUUUCUCUGACACUGAGCUAUUGGAUUGAUCCUUGAGAGGGCAAACAUUCAACUUUCUCUAUCAACAACAUGACCAUCAGGUCUGGAAAUGCUCAGGAGCAUGAUUCUUCAAGGGUUUCCCCAAGUAGGUCCUUCCACAGCCCAUACCUAUAAAGAAGACCAAGCCCCUGCUGGUGAGCCUGCUGCCCCGGAACAGCCUACACUUGAAUCCAGACACACAGUCUGAGCUCCAGCUCAAGGUGACAUGGGGGAGAGGAGGGCCCCAGG